rnacentral:rRNA from 1 species
CCUACGGGUGGCAGCAGUGAGGAAUAUUGGUCAAUGGACGAGAGUCUGAACCAGCCAAGUAGCGUGAAGGAUGACUGCCCUAUGGGUUGUAAACUUCUUUUAUAUGGGAAUAAAAUGUUCCACGUGUGGGAUUUUGUAUGUACCAUAUGAAUAAGGAUCGGCUAACUCCGUGCCAGCAGCCGCGGUAAUACGGAGGAUCCGAGCGUUAUCCGGAUUUAUUGGGUUUAAAGGGUGCGUAGGUGGAUGGUUAAGUCAGUUGUGAAAGUUUGCGGCUCAACCGUAAAAUUGCAGUUGAUACUGGCAGUCUUGAGUACAGUAGAGGCGGGCGGAAUGCGUGGUGUAGCGGUGAAAUGCUUAGAUAUCACGAAGAACUCCGAUUGCGAAGGCAGUUCACUGGACUGCAACUGACACUGAGGCUCGAAAGUGUGGGUAUCAAACAGGAUUAGAUACCCGAGUAGUC